CAAACUACUUGUUAAUAACUUGAGGGUUCGCCGCCCAAAAGGAUCGCUGGAAGGUUCAAAAUUGUGACAUCAAUGGACGAAGGCACCAAUUUACUCUUACGGUUUAUAUUUUGUCUAUGUUUCGCUUUCCUGCUUAUUAUUUUAGUUUUGGGGUUAACUUUAAUGAUGAUUUUAUCCCAAACUACGUCCCUCAAAUUCUUGAUUUGUAGCAUUGCGAUUGUCAUUGUUGGCAUCUUUGAAAUUGUCGUAGCAUGUGCAAUUAUUUUUUCUGCACGUAGGGAACUCAAGCAACAGGCAAAAGUUGCACCAGAGUCGACCGUAGAAGUUUAAGUCCUUGUUUAUCGAUUUGAAUCUAAUAUAAUUUUAAUUCUUGGGAGAAUUUGUAUUCUGGAUUUUGGUGUUCAAAAGCAAUAUGGAGAUUGUUGAAGUUGUUAUAGCAUUUGUACGUAUUUUAAUUUAUUUUUUAUCCACGUAGAACUCAAACAUGCAAAAGUUGGACAUGAGACUGUUGCAAAAGUUUAAUCCCUGUUUACCAAUUUGUUUAUAAUUUUAUUUUUAUUAUUUUCGAAUUUCUUGCAUCGAGAGUUCUGAAUGAUAUCGAUAUCGUUACUUCUAUCUUUAUACCAUAAAAUAAUGUAUUCAUUAUGUCCGAGUCCUAAUUAAAUGGCGAGUCUCAAUUAUUUUCGAUAGUACUAUAAUUUUUUUUUUCUUUUCGUACAUAAAACUGAUUAUAUCAACGUUAGACAAAAUAAAAGAACAUAUAAAAGUGAAUUGCUUUCGUUGUCACACAGUCUUAUUAUGUCUAGGAUACAUUUGAUACUUAGGAAAACAUUGACCUCGGAAAGUUUUUAACUGUAUUCACAUUGGUAUAUUCAAUUUAUUAAGUAUUGAAUUGAGACGAAAAGGGUGUUUAAACAUGGGACUCGUAUGUUAUGCUCGUUACUAGAACCGUGAAGCCUACUCGACUAGUGAGACUUGAAAACAUUGUGUUCUGAAAAUAUAUAAUUUAUAUUUCAAUAUUAUAAGAAUCGAUAAUAAGAAAUUAAGAAUGAUUGGUUUAUUUAACUGGAAAACAUGAAAUUUAAAAACCAUUAGAAUAUUCAUGGAGUUGAAACUGG
rnacentral:lncRNA from 1 species